UGAGGAAUAUUGGUCAAUGGGCGAGAGCCUGAACCAGCCAAGUAGCGUGCAGGAAGACGGCCCUAUGGGUUGUAAACUGCUUUUAUGUGGGGAUAAAGUGAGCUACGCGUAGUUUAUUGCAGGUACCACAUGAAUAAGGACCGGCUAAUUCCGUGCCAGCAGCCGCGGUAAUACGGAAGGUCCAGGCGUUAUCCGGAUUUAUUGGGUUUAAAGGGAGCGUAGGCCGUGGAUUAAGCGUGUUGUGAAAUGUAGACGCUCAACGUCUGAAUUGCAGCGCGAACUGGUUCACUUGAGUAUGCACAACGUAGGCGGAAUUCGUCGUGUAGCGGUGAAAUGCUUAGAUAUGACGAAGAGCUCCGAUUGCGAAGGCAGCUGACGGGAGCGCAACUGACGCUUAAGCUCGAAGGUGCGGGUAUCAAACAGGAUUAGAUACCCUGGUAGUCCGCACAGUAAACGAUGGAUGCCCGCUGUUGGUACCUGGUAUCAGCGGCUAAGCGAAAGCAUUAAGCAUCCCACCUGGGGAGUACGCCGGCAACGGUG
rnacentral:rRNA from 1 species